GCCUGGGUGGCUCAGUCGGUUGAGCAUCUGACUUCGGCUCAAGUCAUGAUCUCACAGCUUGUGAGUUCAAGCCCCACAUCGGGCU
rnacentral:tRNA from 1 species